rnacentral:rRNA from 1 species
UACGGGGGGGGCAAGCGUUGUUCGGAAUUACUGGGCGUAAAGGGCUCGUAGGCGGCCAACUAAGUCAGACGUGAAAUCCCUCGGCUUAACCGGGGAACUGCGUCUGAUACUGGAUGGCUAGAGGUUGGGAGAGGGAUGCGGAAUUCCAGGUGUAGCGGUGAAAUGCGUAGAUAUCUGGAGGAACACCGGUGGCGAAGGCGGCAUCCUGGGUUGACACUGACGCUGAGGCGCGAAAGCGUGGGGAGCAAACAGG